AUGCACAUUUCUUCUAAGAGAGUAGUGAAUUGGGGAGGAAGAAGGAAAAUGUCCCAAGAUGAGCUUAUGGAUGUCCAUGACCAGAAAUUACCCACUGGGGAAGUGCUGAAGAAUGGCCUACUAGGAAGAGGUGGACACACGUUGUUCAAGAGGAGGUUGUCCCAGGUCAAUGGAGUCUCUUCUUCAGAAGGCCUAUCUUCUGUCCGUCUUUCUAUCAUACCUCAUAUUUACCUAAGAGAGGCUACCAAUAGACCAAAGAAAUGUUUCUGCCCAAGUCCAGGUUAGUGAACCAACGAGUUGAUUGAGGUUUACUUAUAGGGACAUGGGCAAGAGGUUACUCAUGGGUGCAUGAAAAACUGAAAAGUAACUGCAUCACGAAAGUGUCUCACCUCAGCAUGGAUGACAGCUUCACAAAAGUGCAAUCAAACCUUCCAUUAACCUCCCACUACCUGCAUACUGUCCACACCAAGAGCUUGCAUAGCUAAGGAGAGCCUGGGAUCCUCCACUCUGCCCCUUCUAUGGGGGGAUAUUUUUUCUUUGCUUGCUUUUGCUGCUACAGGAGAUUGAAUCUAAGACAUUCACUCACGCCAGUCAAGAGUCACUGAGCUACAUUCCCCCAAGAGGAGAGAGAAUGCUUGUAGUCCAUUACUGUUAAUAAGGCAUAGCCAUCAGUGUUCAUUCAUGGACUAGAAAUUGACAAGGAAUUCUACACGUCACCAGAGCCAUUUUAGCCUCAUCUUAGACACAGUCAAACUGCAGCCAUGCUGUUAAAGAUGAGACAGGUUCUUGCAACAAGAAAAAGCCUUUUUCUUUUAUUAGCAUAUAUUAAUUAUAAAAAGUAAGGAAUUUCAUUAUGACUCUUCCAUAUAUGCAUAUAGUGUACUUUGAUUAUAUUCACCCCUUGGAUUACUCUUUGUUUACCCCCACCCCACUGCAUCAUGG
rnacentral:lncRNA from 1 species